GUCAAGGUUGUAAUUGAUAUUGGUUUCACAAAGGUCUUGGGUCAGCUUGACCCUAGCAACUAUGUAUUCCCCCUCCCCUCCUUGUGGUUUUUGCCUUUAGAAAUCGUGUUGCUUUGAGCUUCAGGGUUGAGCGUUCUUUAGGCCAUGAGCCCGCUCUCCACCGCCAGCAAUGAAGGACCAUCAAAUUUUAUGUGUGUGGUGCUCCUGUUUGCACUCAGGCACAACAUUUUGGAGGGCCCAGUGAGAUUCAGAGACCAUCCCCGGGGAAGAUCUCAUUCCGAUCCUUCCAGGUUGGUGCUAUGUCCAUAGGGGAGGUGCCCCCUGAUGAUGUGCCAGGGCCCCGCGUCCUGAUUCACUGACCUGGGAAGCUGGGCUUGAACUGUUCACUGACCAAUGGUCCUCUGUACAUAUAUGAAGAAUAAUUCAAGACCGCUUAAAAGUAACUAAGGUUGGAGCUGAUGCUGUGGCAUGGGAAGACCCAGAAGAAGCUCCUGGCUCCUGGCUUCGGAUCAGCGCAGCUCCAGCUGCUGCGGCCAAUAGAAGAGUGAACCAGCAGAUGGCAGACCUCUCUCUUCUCUGCCUCUCCUUCUCUCCCUGUGUAACUCUGGCUUUCAAAAUAAAUAAAAUAAAUCUUAAAAAAAAAAAAAAAAA